GCAUUGGUGGUUCAGUGAUAGAAUUCUCACCUUCAAAGUGAGAGACCCAGGUUCGAUUCCAGGCUGAUGCG
rnacentral:tRNA from 1 species